CAGAGAGCAGGGGUAUAACAGUCUGUACUACACUGUGAAGUAUUUAUCAUUUCUGCUAUGCUCGUCCAUUUGUUUCUUUGUCUUCAGUGAUGCAGGUUUUUAUAGGUUUUUGUGGCAACUGUACAUUUUUUCACUGUGUUUAGAACUUGGACUUGUUGUUUGUGUCUACCAAAGUGUGGCUGCUGUGUUUCCACUGGUGUUUGUGUGUCCAUUGAGCAAGUUUUGGAAGCUAAACUCCUAGGUAUAACAGUAGAUGGUCAAUUAUCAUGGUCAAGUCAUAUUGACAAAGUUAUUGUGAAGAUGAGGAAGGGUAUGUCUUAUAACGUUUAUUUAUCUAGGCAAAUCAGUUAAGAACAAAUUCUUAUUCUUGUCAAAUUCUUAUUUACAAUGACGGCCUACAGAUGAAGUGAGACCGGUUUGGACCAGGUUAGAUGAGGUGAGACAGGUUUAGACCAGGUUAUCUGAGGUGAGACAGAUUUAGACCAGGUUAGAUGAGGUGAGAUAGAUUUAGACCAGGUUAGGUUAGGUGAGACAGGUUUAGACCAGGUUAGAUGAGGUGAGAUAGAUUUAGACGAGGUUAGGUGAGACAGGUUUAGACCAGGUUAGGUUAGGUGAGACAGGUUUAGACCAGGUUAGAUGAGGUGAGAUAGACUUAGACGAGGUUAGGUGAGACAGGUUUAGACCAGGUUAGCUGAGGUGAGACAGAUUUAGACCAGGUUAGAUGAGGUGAGAUAGAUUUAGACCAGGUUAGGUUAGGUGAGACAGGUUUAGACCAGGUUAGAUGAGGUGAGAUAGAUUUAGACGAGGUUAGGUGAGACAGGUUUAGACCAGGUUAGGUUAGGUGAGACAGGUUUAGACCAGGUUAGAUGAGGUGAGAUAGACUUAGACGAGGUUAGGUGAGACAGGUUUAGACUAGGUUUGGUGAGGUGAGACAGGUUUAGACCAGGUUAGGUGAGGUGAGACAGGUUUAGACCAGGUUAGGUGAGGUGAGAUAGACUUAGACGAGGUUAGGUGAGACCGGUUUAGACCAGGUUUGGUGAGGUGAGACAGGUUUAGACCAGGUUAGGUGAGGUGAGACAGGUUUAGACCAGGUUAGGUGAGGUGAGACAGGUUUAGACCAGGUUAGGUGAGGUGAGACAGGUUUAGACCAGGUUAGGUGAGGUGAGACAGGUUUAGACCAGGUUAGGUGAGGUGAAAAAGGUUUAGACCAGGUUAGGUGAGGUGAGACAGGUUUAGACCAGGUUAGGUGAGGUGAGACAGGUUUAGACCAGGUUAGGUGAGGUGAGACAGGUUUAGACCAGGUUAGGUGAGGUGAGACAGGUUUAGACCAGGUUAGGUGAGGUGAGACAGGUUUAGACCAGGUUAGGUGAGGUGAGACAGGUUUAGACCAGGUUAGGUGAGGUGAGACAGGUUUAGACCAGGUUAGGUGAGGUGAGACAGGUUUAGACCAGGUUAGGUGAGGUGAGACAGGUUUAGACCAGGUUAGGUGAGGUGAGACAGGUUUAGACCAGGUUAGGUGAGGUGAGACAGGUUUAGACCAGGUUAGGUGAGGUGAGACAGGUUUAGACCAGGUUAGGUGAGGUGAGACAGGUUUAGACCAGGUUAGGUGAGGUGAGACAGGUUUAGACCAGGUUAGGUGAGGUGAGACAGGUUUAGACCAGGUUAGGUGAGGUGAGACAGAU